UGAGGAAUAUUGCACAAUGGGCGAAAGCCUGAUGCAGCGACACCGCGUGAAGGAUGAAGGUCUUAGGAUUGUAAACUUCUGUUAAGUGGGAAAAAAGACUCGUUACGAAUAAUAACGAGGGAUGAUGGUACCACUAGAGAAAGCACCGGCUAACUUCGUGCCAGCAGCCGCGGUAAUACGAGGGGUGCAAACGUUAUUCGGAAUUACUGGGUGUAAAGGGUACGUAGACGGCAUUUUAAGUCAAUUGUUAAAUUCCCCGGCCUAACUGGGGGUAGGCGAUUGAAACUAAAAAGCUAGAGAGUGGAAGAGAGAAGUGGAAUUCUCGGAGUAGCGGUAAAAUGCGUAGAUCUCGAGAGGAACACCGAUGGCGAAGGCAGCUUCUUGGUCCAUAUCUGACGUUGAGGUACGAAAGCGUGGGGAGCAAACAGG
rnacentral:rRNA from 1 species